UCUGACACUAUUCAGGUGUUGAACGAUCCAUUUCCUUCCCUUUCUCUGGAAUAAUCACAAGAAAGAUUCAGCUAAAGAAAAAGCGUGAUAAUGUGUCCUUGAGGGAUUCCUCUAAUGAUUGCUGCAAUGGUUUAUAUUAUUCAAGUAGUGCAAAGGUAUUCAGAUGACUGCAUUAUCCAAAUACAUAAAGACAGCAAGGCAUACUUCUUGAUCUAGCCCUAGUGUAGCUGUAGUACAAUGAGGUGUAUAAGCUUAAUAUACAUAGCUCAGACUCACUCCUCAAAGAAUGCCUAUCUUGUCAUCAUGAUUCUCAGCAGCUUCAGGUGAGAGCAGGAUGAGCCUACCUUGACUUCAGCCAUCUAAAUUGCUAUGAAGGUCACUGUGGUGAACAGUGAUGAAAAUGUGAAUGCAACUUCUGCCUUCUUCCUCUGAGUCUUGCUGCUCACACAUUGUUGUGAAUAUCUGCAUAACUUUGCACAGAUCCAGGGAGAAAUCAACCUGAGCAUCCUGGGCUAUACCAGCCAGAGUAAUGCCAGAAGGUCCAGGGAAGUGAUUGCUUACCUCCAUUUGGCACUUGGAAGACUAGAUUUGAGCUCCCCAGUGCAAAAAGGAUAUUGACCUAUUGAAGCAAAUCCAGGCAAGGGUCACUAGCAUGCUCAGGAGCUAGGGUACUUGAUGUUUGAGGAGAUUCUGAAAGCCAGGUCUAGCUUUCUACUUAUGUAGAGGGAGAUCUAAUUGUCCUUCAGCUACCCAGCACUGGAUUAAAUGAAAUAAAUAUAGUGAAUAGA